rnacentral:rRNA from 1 species
AUGGCGAACGGGACCGGGUCUCUGGGUCUCGGCGUCGAGGACGGCCUCGGGGAGACCUCGUCCCCGCUCCCCUCCGCCGCGCCCGUCGACGAGGUCCCCGGCGCGACCGCGUUCCCGCUUCCCCCCGCCGCGCCCGUCGACGAGGUCCCCGGCGCGACCGCGUUCCCGCUUCCCCCCGCCGCGCCCGUCGACGAGGUCCCCGGCGCGACCGCGUUCCCGCUUCCCUCCGCCGCGCCCGUCGACGAGGGCCUCGGCGCGACCGCGGCUCCGCUUCGCUCUGCCGCGCCCGCGUCUCCGCUUCGCCCCGCCGCGCCCGCGCCCGCGCCGGGUGUGCCGCCCACACCCGAUGGGAGCGCCGGCCGCCAUGGGCUCCCAGGGUCGCGCACGGACAGCGUGGCGAACGGGGGGGAUUCUGGAUCCCAAGCUCGGGGUGUCGGCGUCUUCGAGGGCCUCGGCGCGACCUCCUCGCCACCUCGCUUGGCCGCGCCCCCGUCGCGUGUGCCCCUCGCGCCCGAUGCGAGCGGCCGCGGCGCGGGAGGAGGCGUCCGCGACAUCUGCAAUGAGUUCGUGGAGCGGCUCGUCGCCGGUGGCCUCCUGGACCCGGGGGCGAUCGACGUUCGGCUCCGCACCUUGCUCGAGGAGCAUUUUGUCAGGUUUCUUGAGGAGAGCGUGGCUAACGGGGGAGAUUCUGUGCCCGGAGCUCAGGGUGUCGGCGUCUCCAAGGGCCUCGGCGCGACCUCCUCGCCACCUCGCUCGGCCGCACCCCCGUCGCAUGUGCCCCUCGCGCCUGAUGCGAGCGGCCGCGGCGCGGGAGGAGGCGUCCGCGACAGCUGCAAUGAGGUCGUGGAGCGGCUCGUCGCCGGUGGCCGCCUGGACCCGGGGGCAAUCGACGUUCAGCUCCGCACCUUGCUCGAGGAGCAUUUUGUCAGGUUUCUUGAGGAGAGGACUCGUUCAAGCCAAACAAGAAGACGUGGUAGCAUUAGGAGACUUCAGAAUAUCAAGACGAGGAAACGAUCUGAGAAGCUCAAAGAAGAGAAGAUGAUGGAAUCAUUCAAGGCAAUCUUGUCGGAUUCAAUCUCAUUUCUGUUUCCAACAAUGGUGGCAGUAUUCGCAAGCAACUUCUCUUUCGGAGAAUACGAGAAAUGCUUACUGAUCUUGUUGUGUGCUCUUGGGGGGCUCCUCAUUCUGCUUGCAAUGGUGCUGUCCCAUGGGGUUGAUGAUGGACAAGGAAGGACGGUUGUCGUGUCCCAUCUCACGUUGGGGGCUGUUAUAUACAUAUUUGGUAUGCUUGUGUACUGUCUCUACAAGUUCUUUCCUGAAGGGUCUGGCCAGGUCAUGGCCUUGUACGGUGGUGUUGCUCAUUUUGUCUUUGGAGCAGUAGUGCUUACAAUUCUAUGGGCGACUUCGUUCAAGCUUAGUUCGUGA